rnacentral:misc_RNA from 1 species
GAUGAAGAACGCAGCGAAAUGCGAUACUUGGUGUGAAUUGCAGAAUCCCGUGAACCAUCGAGUCUUUGAACGCAAGUUGCGCCCGAAGCCAUUAGGCCGAGGGCACGCCUGCCUGGGCGUCACACGUCGUUGCCCCCCCAUCUACUCCUUCGGGAUUGCGGGGGGCGGAUGAUGGCCUCCCGUGCGCCUCGUCGCGCGGUUGGCAUAAAUGCCAAGUCCUCGGCGACGCACGCCACGACAAUCGGUGGUUGCGAAACCUCGGUUGCCCGUCGUGUGCGGUCGUCGCGCAUCGAGGGCUCGAAAAAAUUGCCGGGCUCCGGCUCGACUUUCAACGCGACCCCAGGUCAGGCGGGGUUACCCGCUGAAUUUAAGCAUAUCAAAAGCGGAGGA